GAUCAUGGCUCAGGAUGAACGCUAGCGACAGGCUUAACACAUGCAAGUCGAGGGGCAGCGGGGUGUAGCAAUACACCGCCGGCGACCGGCGCACGGGUGAGUAACGCGUAUGCAACUUGCCUAUCAGAGGGGGAUAACCCGGCGAAAGUCGGACUAAUACCGCAUGAAGCAGGGGCCCGCAUGGGGAUAUUUGCUAAAGAUUCAUCGCUGAUAGAUAGGCAUGCGUUCCA
rnacentral:rRNA from 1 species